UACGUAGGGAGCAAGCGUUGUCCGGAAUCAUUGGGCGUAAAGGGCUCGUAGGCGGCCAACUAAGUCCGACGUGAAAUCCCCAGGCUUAACCUGGGAACUGCGUCGGAUACUGGUUGGCUUGAAUUCGGGAGAGGGAUGCAGAAUUCCAGGUGUAGCGGUGAAAUGCGUAGAUAUCGGGAAGAACACCCGUGGCGAAGGCGGCUCUCUGGGACGGUACUGGACGCUGAGACGCGAAAGCGUGGGGAGCGAACAGG
rnacentral:rRNA from 1 species